GAUGAACGCUGGCGGCGUGCCUAAUACAUGCAAGUCGAGCGAAUGGAUUAAGAGCUUGCUCUUAUGAAGUUAGCGGCGGACGGGUGAGUAACACGUGGGUAACCUGCCCAUAAGACUGGGAUAACUCCGGGAAACCGGGGCUAAUACCGGAUAACAUUUUGAACCGCAUGGUUCGAAAUUGAAAGGCGGCUUCGGCUGUCACUUAUGGAUGGACCCGCGUCGCAUUAGCUAGUUGGUGAGGUAACGGCGCACCAAGGCAACGAUGCGUAGCCGACCGAGUAGGGUGGUCGGCCACAGUGGGACUGAGACACGGCUCAGACUCAUACGGGAGGCAGCAGUAGGGAAUCUUCCGCAAUGGACGAAAGUCUGACGGAGCAACGCCGCGUGAGUGAUGAAGGCUUUCGGGUCGUAAAACUCUGUUGUUAGGGAAGAACAAGUGCUAGUUGAAUAAGCUGGCACCUUGACGGUACCUAACCAGAAAGCCACGGCUAACUACGUGCCAGCAGCCGCAGUAA
rnacentral:rRNA from 1 species